GUGAUCAGCUUUGAUCAAUCUCUUCAACGUGAGAGUUUGAUCCUGGCUCAGAGCGAACGCUGGCGGCAGGCUUAACACAUGCAAGUCGAGCGGGCAUCUUCGGGUGUCAGCGGCGGACGGGUGAGUAACGCGUGGGAAC
rnacentral:rRNA from 1 species